CAGCCGCCACGGUAAUACGUAGGUCCCGAGCGUUGUCCGGAUUUAUUGGGCGUAAAGCGAGCGCAGGCGGUUUGAUAAGUCUGAAGUUAAAGGCUGUGGCUCAACCAUAGUUCGCUUUGGAAACUGUCAAACUUGAGUGCAGAAGGGGAGAGUGGAAUUCCAUGUGUAGCGGUGAAAUGCGUAGAUAUAUGGAGGAACACCGGUGGCGAAAGCGGCUCUCUGGUCUGUAACUGACGCUGAGGCUCGAAAGCGUGGGGAGCGAACAGGAUUAGAUACCCCAGUAGUCCCUGUCUCUUAUACC
rnacentral:rRNA from 1 species